rnacentral:rRNA from 1 species
AGGUGAACCUGCGGAAGGAUCAUUAGUGAAUAUAGGACGUCCAACUUAACUUGGAGUCCGAACUCUCACUUUCUAACCCUGUGCACUUGUUUGGGAUAGUAACUCUCGCAAGAGAGCGAACUCCUAUUCACUUAUAAACACAAAGUCUAUGAAUGUAUUAAAUUUUAUAACAAAAUAAAACUUUCAACAACGGAUCUCUUGGCUCUCGCAUCGAUGAAGAACGCAGCGAAAUGCGAUAAGUAAUGUGAAUUGCAGAAUUCAGUGAAUCAUCGAAUCUUUGAACGCACCUUGCGCUCCAUGGUAUUCCGUGGAGCAUGCCUGUUUGAGUGUCAUGAAUACUUCAACCCUCCUCUUUCUUAAUGAUUGAAGAGGUGUUUGGUUUCUGAGCGCUGCUGGCCUUUACGGUCUAGCUCGUUCGUAAUGCAUUAGCAUCCGCAAUCGAACUUCGGAUUGACUUGGCGUAAUAGACUAUUCGCUGAGGAAUUCUAGUCUUCGGAUUAGAGCCGGGUUGGGUUAAAGGAAGCUUCUAAUCAGAAUGUCUACAUUUUAAGAUUAGAUCUCAAAUCAGGUAGGACUACCCGCUGAACUUAA